rnacentral:rRNA from 1 species
AUUGAACGCUGGCGGCAUGCCUUACACAUGCCAGUCGAACGGUAACGGGCCUUCGGGUGCCGACGAGUGGCGCACGGGUGAGUAAUACAUCGGAACGUGCCCGAUCGUGGGGGAUAACGAGGCGAAAGCUUUGCUAAUACCGCAUACGAUCUACGGAUGAAAGCAGGGGACCGCAAGGCCUUGCGCGGACGGAGCGGCCGAUGGCAGAUUAGGUAGUUGGUGGGAUAAAAGCUUACCAAGCCGACGACCUGUAGCUGGUCUGAGAGGAUGAUCAGCCACACUGGGACUGAGACACGGCCCAGACUCCUACGGGAGGCAGCAGUGGGGAAUUUUGGACAAUGGGCGCAAGCCUGAUCCAGCCAUGCCGCGUGCAGGAUGAAGGCCUUCGGGUUGUAAACUGCUUUUGUACGGAACGAAAAGCCUUCUUUUAAUACAGGAGGGUCAUGACGGUACCGUAAGAAUAAGCACCGGCUAACUACGUG